UCCAGAUGGACAGCCUUGUCAUAUGCUAUUUUUAUGUCGUAUUUUAACUUUUAAAAAUGGGAGUAGUUCUUCACUCUAAGGCAUGAGAAUAUGAGUUCUUUGAGAGCUGGAAGAAUUUUACUUUUCUAUUUCAAUCUUUCAAGAUUAGCACAAGUCUUUGCAUAUAAUUCUUCAAGUUUUCUUGAUAAACAAAACCACAGAGACAACUGUUCAACAAUUAUUGGAUUAUUGUCAAGGCAAGCAUAACAUAUUCCUUACUAUCAUGGAGGAAGUCCUGCAAAGGUUCAAAUGACAGAGAUAU